rnacentral:rRNA from 1 species
UAGCCCUAACACAUAAAAAAAGAACGGUAACGCGGGGCAACCUGACAAAAAAAUGGCGAACGGGUGAGUAAAGUAUCGGAACGUGAUCAGUAGUGGGGGAUAACCCGGCGAAAGCCGGAUUAAUACACGCAUGAGACCUGAGGGUGAAAGCGGGGGAUCGGAAGACCUCGCGCUAUUGGAGCGGCCGAUAUCAGAUUAGGUAGUUGGUGGGGUGAAGGCCUACCAAGCCGACGAUCUGUAUCUGGUCUGAGAAAA